UGAGUAACGCGUAUGCGACCUGCCCGUUGCAGGGGGGAUAAUCGGGAGAAAUCCCGUCUAACACCGCGUAACGCCGCGGGGCUGCAUGGCCCUGCGGCCAAAGGGAGCGAUUCCGGCAACGGAUGGGCAUGCGUGACAUUAGCUAGUUGGCGGGGCAACGGCCCACCAAGGCGACGAUGUCUAGGGGUUCUGAGAGGAAGGUCCCCCACACUGGUACUGAGACACGGACCAGACUCCUACGGGAGGCAGCAG
rnacentral:rRNA from 1 species